GUCUAGAAUGACUCUCGGCAACGGAUAUCUCGGCUCUUGCAUCGAUGAAGAACGUAGCGAAAUGCGAUACUUGGUGUGAAUUGCAGAAUCCCGUGAACCAUCGAGUCUUUGAACGCAAGUUGCGCCCGAAGCCAUUUGGCUAAGGGCACGCCUGCCUGGGUGUCACCAA
rnacentral:rRNA from 1 species